AGCGCACGCCUGAUAAGCGUGAGGUCGGUGGUUCGAGUCCACUUAAGCCCACCA
rnacentral:tRNA from 1 species